GUGUCAGCAGCCGCGGUAAGACGUAGGGUGCAAGCGUUGUCCGGAUUUACUGGGCGUAAAGCGCGCGUAGGCGGCUCGUUAAGUGAGAAGUGAAAGCUCUGGGCUCAACCCAGAAACCGCUUUUCAUACUGGCGAGCUGGAGUGAUGCAGAGGUGGAUAGAAUUCCCGGUGUAGCGGUGAAAUGCGUUGAUAUCGGGAGGAAUACCCGUGGCGAAGGCGGUCCACUGGGCAUCAACUGACGCUGAGGCGCGAAAGCGUGGGUAGCAAACAGGAUUAGAAACCCGCGUAGUCC
rnacentral:rRNA from 1 species